AUAACAAUAAAUCAAUAUCUUUGUGUGAAGGUGUUAUUUCUUGUAACAUUUCAGGCCUCAAUUCAGUAAAACUAUAUGUCUUUUUUUGUUUUACUAUUAUACAAAAUUGAAGUUUGAGUCGAAUGGCUGUCUAGGGACAGAAUGGUGUCUUUGUAGUUUUUUUUUAUGGACAUAGGGGCUCUUUAGGUUGGACCACCUAUAACUGCAGUGUAUGAAAUGAUACAUCAGUUUUAUUUUCCCCAGAAGAAUCAAGAGAAUAGUAAAUAGAAUGAAGGGGACCAUACUCUUGGCUCAUCUGUUGUUGAUUUGGACCAUGACUGCUAAGUUUUAGGGUAGCUAUAAAAAAAAUAGACAGACUGCAUAGAAAAUUUCACAAUAUUUCAACACCAGUUUUUUCUGCUUAUUUCUGACUAGAUUAAUCAGCUGGAUGACAUUAAAAAGUACAAGAUCACCGAUGUCAAGGUCGCAAAUGCUUUCUGAUCUAUUUACUGUGACCCCAACUGAUGCUAUCCCCCGUUCUUUUAACAGUACCUGUAAAUUCAGACUCAGGUAAGUGGCCAGACUAGUUCAAUUCCUGAUUUAAUCUAACUAUGAAUUCUGGGGCAUUAUCUGGACAUUCUGUAGAACAGGUUUUCUCCCAACUCUCUUAAUUUAAUUUAGUAUUCAAAACUAUCUGACUAAAACCCACCAUAAUUAUUGGCACCCUUGAUAGAGAUGAGUAAAAAAAAAAAGACUAAAAUAAAUAAUACAAAAACUGAGCUAUAAUGUACACAAAAAAAUGGGGCGGUUACUGUAUUUAUACUAAUACAUUUGCUCACAAAAAAAUAUGAUUUUGUCAUCUGACCAUAGCAACACCUGGAGUUUGAUAAAUGGCAUUUGGAUUGGAACCAGUGCAAUGGUCAUAUGAUAUGAAAACAAGCUCUUUGGCCACGCACACCAGUGGUGUGUUUGGUGUUGAAAAACAGAAGCAUACUUGUAUGCUGUUAAAUAUGGUGGUGGAUCUUUGAUGUUAUGAGGCUAUUUUGCUUCCACUGGUCCUUGGGCCCUUGUUAAGGUCAACGGCAUCAUGAACUUUACCAAGUACCUGGACAUUUGUGCCAAAAACCUAGUUGCCAUUGCCAGGAUGCUGACACUUGGCCGCAAGUGGAUCUUCCAGCAAGACAAUAACACCAAGCACAUAUAGGUAAGGAUUAAGUGACUAGGCAACAGGAUGGAUAAAUAACAGUAACAGCAGCGCAUGUGAGUCAAAAGACUUAGUGCAAAAAGGGUCAAUGCAGACAGUCUGGGUAGCUAUUGGUUAACUACAAUACACUCACUACAUUAUACUGAACAAAAAUAUAAAUACAACAUGGAACAAUUUCAAAGAUUCUACUGCGUUACAGGUCAUAUAAGGACAUUCGUUAAUUGAAAUAAAUUCAUUAUGCCCUAAUCUAUGGAUUUCAGUCAGUAUGCCAAUUGCUCGCCCCCUCAAAACUUGAGACAUCUGUGGAAUUGUGUUAUGUGACAAACUGCACAUUUUAGCGUGGCCUUUUAUUGUCCUCAGCGCAAGGUGCACCUGGGUAAUGAUCAUACUGUUGAAUCAGCUUCUUGAUAUGCCACACCUGUUAGGUGGAUGGGUUAUCUCGGCAAAGGAGAAAUGCUCGUUAACAGGGAUGGAAACUAAUUUGUACACAAAAUUUGAGAGAAAUAUGCUUUUUGUGUGAAUGGAACACUUCAUGGAUCUUUUAUUUCAGCUCAUGAAACAUGGGACCAACACUUUGCAUGUUGCUUUUAUAUUUUUGUUCAGUGUAUUUAGAGGUCUUAUGGCUUGGGGGUAAAAGCUGUUCAGGAUCCUGUUGGUUCCAGACUUGGUGCAUCGGUACCGCUUGCAGUGUGGUAGCAGAGAGAACAGUCUAUGACUUGGGUUGCUGGAGUCUUGGAGAAUUUCUGGGGCCUUCCUCUGACACCACCUGGUAUAGAGGUCCUUGAAGCCCCCUCCUGCUGUUCAGAGACUGGCAUUUUCUACAAGAAAUCUGCCUCCAGAAAUAAAAGCUUCUCCCAAGUGGGUGUGACACCUACUCCUGUUGCCUGCUGCAGUGCUGCUUGGAUUCCACCUGGCGAUCUGUUCACCAUCUGCCCUGGUUGUCUCCCCCUGUCUGGUACAUGGGGAGACAUGGCGCUAGAUGUGUAUCUAGUUAAAUAGAAACUACAGUGGCCAUGUCAUUUAUUGUCGCUGGGAAUUUUCUCUCUAUUUGUUACACAGAUUUUUGGUCUCCCAUCCCAUUCUAACCACCUCUUGCCGGCUUUGUAUUCAUGUUACCUGAUGAAAUUGCUGUACAAUAUGAUCUUGUUGCCAUCUGAUACACAUUCAGAUGUCAUAAAUCAACACUGCAGAGCUCUCCCUGUCCUAUGCCGUGCCUUGAUUGUAUUACUGUUGAUGAUAUCUAGAAAUGUGCAUGUACACCCUGGCCCAUUUACUGUUGCCAUCCCCAAUUCUGCCAUCCCCAAUCCCCAAUGAAUAUCCUGAAAGGGCUUAUCAACCUGUUUCAUCAAAUGCUGUUUUUUCUAUAUCUUUAGUUCAGCUGAAAAUGAACGUGGCAGAAUCCUCGGACAAGAUCACACUAUCACGUGUUUAUGGUUUCACUUUCAGCCCUAAUAAUGAAACAACUCAUAUAUUGGAUUAUAAGGAUGAGAACAUAGGGGAGUUUGUAUGCAAGAAAGACGGAGAGGAAGAUCGCAAAAUCUAUGUGAAAUGUCGGAGGAUGGUUGUGGGAGUCCUGGUGGCCACUGUCUUGAUUGGAGUAGCUGUUUACUGCAUCGCCUCACAGCCCAAAGGAACACUAACCGCCGGCAAGAAAACAUCUAGCAAAAUGGGUCUCAUGAGGCCAGUGUCAACAAAAUUACUUGUCCACAAUGAGGUCAGUGUAAACAAAACAACUUGUCCACAAUGAGGUCAGUGUAAACAAAACAACUUGUCCACAAUGAGGUCAGUGUAAACAAAACAACUUGUCCACAAUGAGGUCAGUAUAAACAAAACAACUUGUCCACAAUGAGGUCAGUGUAAACAAAACAACUUGUCCACAAUGAGGUCAGUGUAAACAAAACAACUUGUCGAACUCGUUAAUUUAUAACCAUGGAUUGGAUCCAUUUGUGUCUGUCUUUUCUUUCUUUCUUUUUUCUUUCUUUCUUUCGGACAGAUCUGAAUACAGCACUCUGCCGAAAAGGAGAUGAAGAGAAUAAUAAAAUGUGCUCAGUGCUACAUUACUUUUACCACCCCUCAGAAUAAUAGUUGUAAAGCAUUGAGAAAUCAGGUCCACAAUGUCCAUGACAAGUCUCUCAACUGUCAAUCUUAUGUACAGAACCAUUGACUGUACAAGUUAACGUCAUUCGGAUGUUUGAUGUACAUACAUUGCCUGUUUGCUCAGUUGCUUUGUUAAGUUUGCUCUACUGUUUUGUUGUAAUUAUGUUGUAUGUUGUAAUUAUGUCUAAAACAACUAUUUUGGCCAGGUCUCUCUUGGAAAAUAGGUUUUUAAUCUCAAUGAGACUAACCCGGUGAAAUAAAACCAAAUAAAAUAAAUAAAUAAUUAAAUGGAAAGGUGGUCACAAAAUAGACUGCAAUUGCAACAAUAAAUCAUUGACUUUUA